rnacentral:rRNA from 1 species
GAUGAACGCUGGCGGCGUGCCUAAUACAUGCAAGUCGAGCGAAUGGAUUAAGAGCUUGCUCUUAUGAAGUUAGCGGCGGACGGGUGAGUAACACGUGGGUAACCUGCCCAUAAGACUGGGAUAACUCCGGGAAACCGGGGCUAAUACCGGAUAACAUUUUGAAUCGACUGGUUCGAAAUUGACAGGCGGCUUCGGCUGUCACUUAUGGAUGGACCCGCGUCGCAUUAGCUAGUUGGUGAGGUAACGGCUCACCAAGGCAACGAUGCGUAUCCGACCUGAGAGGGUGAUCGGCCACACUGGGACUGAGACACGGCCCAGACUCCUACGGGAGGCAGCAGUAGGGAAUCUUCCGCAAUGGACGAAAGUCUGACGGAGCAACGCCGCGUGAGUGAUGAAGGCUUUCGGGUCGUAAAACUCUGUUGUUAGGGAAGAACAAGUGCUAGUUGAAUAAGCUGGCACCUUGACGGUACCUAACCAGAAAGCCACGGCUAACUACGUGCCAGCCGCCGCAGUAA